rnacentral:lncRNA from 1 species
AAAAAUAUUUUAAAAAUUCAUAAUAAUAUAUUUUAUAUUUUUUAAUAAUUAAUUAAUCAUGUACUAAUCUAUUACUACGUUUUUUCGCCGAAUAACAACUUACAUCCCUUCUCGCCGAACGCGGCCUCAGAGAGCCAGGAUAUAAGUAGGUACACAGUCCCAAACACAAGUCCACUCCAACCAUUCCAUGGAGGAGAGCUUGGGAACAAUUUACCACCAACAAGAGCCAGCAGAGAGAGGAUACAACCUUCUUACCUAGAUAGUGAUUAGUGAAGCAAGCUGGGUUAGACAACAACCAGCAAGCUUCAUCAUCGCAGAGCUGCUGCCCGUAGGAAUCAGACGCUCGACUGCGGCAAAUCCAUAUCCGGCCCGGCAACAAGGUGAUUUCGCGUUCACGAAAUAACUUCAGAUCAAUGCAUAAUUUUUUUUCUAGCCUCAAACCUGUCUCUCUCACACACACAGAAACACACCAAGAUUAGCUUCUCUCCAAGUAGCAUCAUUAGCAAGAAAGUUUGGCUAUAGUCGAAGAUCUAGUCGUACUAGCUAGCAUGAAACAAAAAAAAAAACGUCUGAAAUUUUGACAGCCGCAUGCGAUGUUUUGCAACCU